CACAAGAGGCAGGACAUGUGCACGAGGUCGCGGAUAUGCCUUCUGUGCCUCCUUCACCUGCUUUGGACAUAUCGGUGGGUGACGUACAUGAAGACAUCAGUGGGG